rnacentral:pre_miRNA from 1 species
GAACUUGGAAUCUGAUCCAAAGUCCACUGAAGUCAAUGGGAGACUUUCCAGUGACUUCAGUGAGCUUUGGAUCAAACCUAUA